rnacentral:lncRNA from 1 species
AUCACACACACACAGAUCGAGCUUAAGGACAACACCAUCAUACUUCCCUCGACCUCACGAGUUUAGCCGUACCAUUUGUUUGAGGGGAAGACGUGUAGAACUCGAGAUACCCGAGCUCCGACGAGGGGUUUAAUUUUCUCCAAUGUGAUCGUGAAGGAUUUACCUAAUUUUGAGACUUAAGAGGGUACUUUUCUAGCUUCCCUAGCACUUUGGAACAAUUUUGGAGUAUUUUGGACAUCAGAAUAAGCUUGACCGUGGGUUUAUAGGUUUAGCUAGAAUUUCAAAGGAUUUAUCGACAACUUCUUGUCGGUUUUAGGACCCCAAAUAGGUAUGGUUGCAUUCUACUCUUCAAGAGU